rnacentral:rRNA from 1 species
UGGCGGACGGGUGAGUAACGCGUGGAUAACCUGCCGUAUACAGGGGGAUAACACUUAGAAAUAGGUGCUAAUACCGCAUAAGCGCACGGUUCCGCAUGGAACAGUGUGAAAAACUCCGGUGGUAUACGAUGGAUCCGCGUCUGAUUAGCCAGUUGGCGGGGUAACGGCCCACCAAAGCGACGAUCAGUAGCCGGCCUGAGAGGGUGAACGGCCACAUUGGGGACUGAGACACGGCCCAAACUCCUACGGGAGGCAGCAG